AUUUAUGAAUAUGUGAAUAAAUGUAACAACAUUAAUGCAAGCAUGUUUAUUACUUUGGGUGUUAAUUAUUACACAAGCAAGUAAUUAUAUAAAGGUUUACUCCGCCUGAUGGAGAUAGCCCGAAGUAUAAUGUUGCCAGGUUGCAAAGAUAAGUAAUUGUAUAAGGGUUAGCUCCAAGUGAUGGAGAUAACCCGAUGUGGUGAUCAGGCUGCAAAGAUAAUUGAUCCUAUACAAGUUACAUAACUUGAAGUGUGAUCUUAUCAAAGUUUGCUGAUUUAAGUUUGCCAAUUUAAUGCACAUUUUUAGUAGUAAGAGAAUACUACACAGCUCUGUAUGUUUAUUUUUUUAGGUGGCACUUCCUUUAUACCUCAUGAGAUAGCUGUUAAAAAACAAGAAAUUCUUGAUAUAAUUUAUUCUGAUACAGUCAUUAUCAAGAUAGAUGUAGAAGGUCAUGAAUGUAAGGCUCUUAUUCCCUAUUUAACGGAGAACAUUAAG